rnacentral:rRNA from 1 species
CCUACGGGGGGCUGCAGUGGGGAAUAUUGGACAAUGGGGGCAACCCUGAUCCAGCCAUGCCGCGUGUGUGAAGAAGGCCCUCGGGUUGUAAAGCACUGUCAGUGAGGAAGAACGCCUGGUGGUUAAUACCCAUCAGGAAAGACAUCACUCACAGAAGAAGCACCGGCUAACUCCGUGCCAGCAGCCGCGGUAAUACGGAGGGUGCGAGCGUUAAUCGGAAUUACUGGGCGUAAAGCGCGCGUAGGUGGCUUGAUAAGCCGGUUGUGAAAGCCCCGGGCUCAACCUGGGAACGGCAUCCGGAACUGUCAAGCUAGAGUGCAGGAGAGGAAGGUAGAAUUCCCGGUGUAGCGGUGAAAUGCGUAGAGAUCGGGAGGAAUACCAGUGGCGAAGGCGGCCUUCUGGACUGACACUGACACUGAGGUGCGAAAGCGUGGGUAGCAAACAGGAUUAGAUACUCCAGUAGUC